GAAACGGCUCGGACGGCGGUGCCGUAACACAUGCAAGUCGAACCGAAGCGAUGACCCGUUCGAGGGCCGUUCGGGCGGGAGAGGGGCGAUGACUUAGUGGCGGACGGGUGGAGUAACGCGUGGGUAACCUGCCCUAUACUGGGGGAGUAACAGCUAGAAAUGGCUGCUAAUACCGCAUGAGCGCACAGUCCCGCAUGGGACAGUGCGGAAACUCCGGUGGUAUAGGAUGGACCCGCGUCCGAUCAGCUGGUUGGUGGGGUAACGGCCCACCAAGGCGACGAUCGGUAGCCGACCUGAGAGGGUGACCGGCCACAUUGGGACUGAGACACGGCCCAAACUCCUACGGGAGGCAGCAGUGGGGGAUAUUGCACAAUGGGGGGAACCCUGAUGCAGCGACGCCGCGUGAGUGAAGGAGUACUCCGGUAUGUAAAGCUCUAUCAGCAGGGAAGAAGCAAGACGGUACCUGACCAAGAAGCCUCGGCUAACUACGUG
rnacentral:rRNA from 1 species